UUAGGUUACUUAGUGGCGGACGGGUGAGUAACGCGUGGGCAACCUGCCCUGUACAGGGGGACAACACUUAGAAAUAGGUGCUAAUACCGCAUAACGGGGGGAGCCGCAUGGCACCCCCUGAAAACUCCGGUGGUACAGGAUGGGCCCGCGUCUGAUUAGCUGGUUGGCAGGGUAACGGCCUACCAAGGCGACGAUCAGUAGCCGGCCUGAGAGGGCGGACGGCCACACUGGGACUGAGACACGGCCCAGACUCCUACGGAAGGCAGCAG
rnacentral:rRNA from 1 species